GGUUCCAUAGUGUAGCGGUUAGCAUGCGUGCUUUACACGCAGGAGGUCCUGGGUUCACACUGCAGUGGAGCCA
rnacentral:tRNA from 1 species